AUGCGAGUUCCGAGGGAGAACACGCACGAGAGAAGAUAUGGGGGCGUCCAAACCCAAUGCUCGUGUGUUUGGUGGUCAACUACUUUAUGCCGCCCUGCCCUUGCGCUCCAUUUCGCCCUGAAUAGCACCGCAACUUGUAGCUCAUUGUCAUGCCCGCUCUCUCUCUCUCUCUUGGCACACGACACGAGGGAUGACUUGGAUGUGCUUGAUGAACCUCUCUACGCUAAUUUCUUGUGCGUCACCGGCGUUGACAGGCCCUACCAGCAAGAGCUUCUCUCUAAAAUGUUCAGAUAUUUGAGCAUUUCCAGUGCAGGACCCAGAAUUCCAGAUGGCAACAAAGUUAUCAAAGAAGUGAUUUUUGGACCAGGAGAGAGAGCACAUCGUUACUGCAAGCAUGUUGCGAAGCAGCGCCUCCCUAAUCUCACAAGUGACCUGAUGAAGAAGGGAAAACAUUUCAUAUUAAUACAUAAGCCUAUGAAUAUCCUGGGGGGCUCUCGAGGAGUCCACGAGGCACAGGGGCGCGCCCACCCCCUGGGCGCGCCCCCCACCCUCGUGGGCCCCCCGGGACUCCCCUCCGAUAGAUUUUUUGGACUCUGUGAGGAUCUGGGUAUUCCUUUCCAGCCACAAAUGCUAAAAUGGAAAGCUGGCCCCAGGGACUUUGAUGGUAUUUGGGCCCCCUGGUGGUAUGAAAGUGUACACACAUCUACGGAUUUCUCAAAAUCUCGUCGUUACCCUAUGCAAAGGGAUUUUACCACUUUCCUUAAUCUGUUGCGCCAGGUAAGGAGAACAGCAGGAUCCCUGUUGCCACCACCGCCUGAUCCUCCUCUUCCUGUACCAGAAAAUAAAAAAAUUCUUGUUUGCCUUGGAGAUGAGCUUUUGCCACGUGAUAGUGCAAGGGUUUCAGUGUUCGAUUCAGUUGUACAAGGAGGGGAUGCUGUGUGGGAAGGAUUGCGUAUAUAUGAUGGGAAAGUAUUCAAACUUGAAGACCACAUGGAUAGAUUGUUUGAUUCUACAAAAACUAUGGCCUUCAGCAAUGUGCCCAGUCGUGAUUGGAUUCAGGAUGCAAUAUUUAAGACUCUUAAUGCAAAUGGGAUGUUCAGUAAUGCACAUGAUAGUGCAAGGGUGACAUCUGGAAUGAGUCCAGCUUUCAAUCUAUAUGGGCGUGUCUUGAUUGUACUUGGAGAGUGGAAACCACUAGUUUAUGAUAACUCACAUGGGAUAAAGUUGGUAACAGCAACCACACAUCGUAAUUCUCCAAAUAGCGUAGAUUCGAAGAUACAUCACACCAAUCUUAUUAACAACAUUCUUGCAAAGAUAGAAGGUAAUCUUGCACAGGCUGAGGAUGCUAUCAUGCUAGAUCAAGAUGGUUUUGUAUCAGAAACAAAUGCAACAAACAUAUUUAUGGUUAGGAAGGGCAUUGUAUUGACACCUCAUGCGGACUACUGCCUUCUAGGAAUUACCCAUGCAACUCGGUUUUCAGCAAGGUAUUCUCUGCAAGUACUAAAAUUAGAAAUAACAGAUACGUUGGUGAUGACGAUGGCGAUGAUUUCCCCCUCCCGGAGGGAAAUAGGCCCUUCGCAGAGGGAAGCAGAGGUUGCCAUGCGCUUUCAGGGUUGGAUGCACAAAAUCUUAAUGCGAAAGAACGUCACUUUAUAUUGCCACUUGUGA
rnacentral:rRNA from 1 species